rnacentral:rRNA from 1 species
GGACCAAGGAGUCUAGCAUGUGCGCGAGUCAUUGGGAUUUUUACUAAACCUAAAGGCGCAAUGAAAGUGAAGGUCCGCCUUGCGCGGACCGAGGGAGGAUGGAUCGUCCCGAGGGACGGCCCCGCACUCCCGGGGCGUCUCGCUCUCAUCGCGAGAAGAGGCGCACCCAGAGCGUACACGCUGGGACCCGAAAGAUGGUGAACUAUGCCUGGUCAGGACGAAGUCAGGGGAAACCCUGAUGGAGGUCCGUAGCGAUUCUGACGUGCAAAUCGAUCGUCGGAACUGGGUAUAGGGGCGAAAGACUAAUCGAACCAUCUAGUAGCUGGUUCCCUCCGAAGUUUCCCUCAGGAUAGCUGGCGCUCGCUUCUCGCGAGUCUCAUUCGGUAAAGCGAAUGAUUAGAGGCAUUGGGGUCGAAACGGCCUCAACCUAUUCUCAAACUUUAAAUGGGUGAGAUCUCCGGCUUGCUUGAACUAUGAAGCCGCGAGAUAUCGGAUCAGAGUGCCAAGUGGGCCACUUUUGGUAAGCAGAACUGGCGCUGUGGGAUGAACCAAACGCUGAGUUAAAGCGCCUAAAUCGACGCUUAUGGGAUACCAUGAAAGGCGUUGGUAACUUAAGACAGCAGGACGGUGGCCAUGGAAGUCGGA